rnacentral:rRNA from 1 species
AGAGUUUGAUCAUGGCUCAGAUUGAACGCUGGCGGCAGGCCUAACACAUGCAAGUCGAACCGUAACAGGAAGUGCUUGCACUUCGCUGACGAGUGGCGGACGGGUGAGUAAUGCUUGGGAACUUGCCUUUGCGAGGGGGAUAACAGUUGGAAACGACUGCUAAUACCGCAUAAUGUCUACGGACCAAACGGGGCUUCGGCUCCGGCGCAAAGAGAGCCCAAGUGAGAUUAGCUAGUUGGUAAGGUAAAGGCUUACCAAGGCAACGAUCUCUAGCUGUUCUGAGAGGAAGAUCAGCCACACUGGAAACUGAGACACGGUCCAGACUCCUACGGGAGGCAGCAGUGGGGAAUAUUGCACAAUGGGGGAAACCCUGAUGCAGCCAUGCCGCGUGUGUGAAGAAAGCCUUCGGGUUGUUAAAGCCCUUUCAGUUG